AUUGAACGCUGGCGGCAUGCCUAACACAUGCAAGUCGAACGGUAACAGGCCUUCGGGCGCUGACGAGUGGCGGACGGGUGAGUAAUACGUAGGAAUCUGCCUUUUAGUGGGGAGUAACUCGGAGAAAUACCGGGCGUAAUACCGCAUACGCACUACGGUGGAAAGACAGGGGAGUCNCAAGACCUUGCGCUAAUAGAUGAGCCUACGUCGGAUUAGCUUGUUGGUA
rnacentral:rRNA from 1 species